GGUUUGUUCUGCCGGUGGCGGGUUGGCCUGUGUUCCUACGCGGGUGCGGGGAGGCGGGAUCGCGGGGACGAGGCGCAGAGCGCUGCAGCCCUGCCGGCGCUGAGGCGGCUCUCGGUUCGCCCAGCGCUCCGCCGUGCUGACGGCGUGUCUGUGGCCGAGGCUUUGUGCUCUCGGUCUGUGCGGAAUUCGUGAGAAAGCUGGCUUUGCGCUGUUGCUGAUGGUAGGAAAGAGGCUCGAUUAAUUGGGCUGUCUGAUGUGGGAUUUGUUUCCCGUAUAACAGCGAUUCAGAACUGAAGGUGGCACUGGUUGUGGUGUUCUUCUUUCGUUGUCUCGGAAGUACAGUAGGAUUUGUUUAUUAUCCGUGCUGUUUAGCUGCAUGAAAAUGGAGGACUACGAAACGUUCUGUAAGAAGCAUCUGUCCAGAAUCCAAGAGGCAACAAAAGGAGAAAACUCACCCACUGUGUUGCACAGAAAUGUCUCCCUCAUUCAAUUCCAUGGAGUUCCUGUGCUCUCCCCUCUGCUGAGCUUUGAAAAGAGAAAGGAAAUACAGCAGUAUCGACAGAAAGCGCUGGAUCUGCAGACUUGGAGACAGAACUCCCACAAAAGAGCCUUACUGAAUCGUGUGCAGGAGAUUCUAGAAAACAUUCAGAACAGGAAAGUAUCUGGUAUGAGUGAUGUGAACACGUGGGAUGCUGAGAAUACCUGCCCCAGUUCAGACUCCAAAGUUUUAACUGAUCUCGCACCUCUGUCAGAUGCCAACUUGCCAUGUUCUCCUGAAAGGCAUCGUCCUGUGCAGCUCGAAAAAAGCCAAGAGCUUUUGCCAUCAGACUCUAUGCAGCAAGUGACGUCAAAUGCAACAGAAGUAGGUAAACCAGCAGAAGAAAAUGUUCCUUCAAAGGGAAGUGAGAAUCACUUCUCAAGAGAUGUACCCUGUCCAAGGGCUGCGUCUCCUGACAGUGUGCAGAGUAAACUUGUGUCCCCUGCUUUACAAAAGCAAGAGGGACAAGGAGUGCCAUCGUCUGACAAGGAGGUCCAAGAUCCAUAUGCAGUGAGUCUUCAGAACCUGAUGAAAAAGUCUAGGGAGUACAUAGAGAAAGAGCAAAGCAGGCGUAGCUCAAAAAGCAGUUCAAAGAAGAGUAUGAACGAAAGCCAUUCAGAUAAAGAAAAUGAUGCAGUUAAAACAUCGGAUUCUGUGAAAGAGAGAGCAAAGCCUACAGGCAGAAGUUCCACUGCUCUGCCACUUGAUAAACCCUGUCUUAAUAAAUCAAAUACUCACAUUCAAGGUGCCUCUACUCAUACAAGUACAUCAACUUUAUCCAGUUUUUCUAAAGUGGAUAUACCUAUGAGAGUUGGAACACCCCCAUUGGUGGAUUCAGAUUCAGAUGAAGAAUUUAAGAAUACUUCAGCCAUUGACCGUGACAGUAGCAUUGUCAGGAGCCUCACAGGGUCGUAUAGCAAACUGCCGAGCCCAGAGCCAAGCAUGAGUCCAAAAAUGCACCGAAGGCGCCCAAGGCCUCUGUCAAUGGGACACAUAGUUAUAAACAACCCCGUGAAUGCUUACGAAUUAAGUCCCAAAGGCAAGGGUAGAGCAAUGGAUUUAAUUAUGCAAGAUAUUGCUGAUAAAAAUAAUGUGUCUGAGUCAGUGCCAAAGUUCAUGAUGGACUUUAGUAUGCUUUGCCCUAGCAGAGUUCCUGGUGUCAUCAGGAGUUCUUCAGGUCCUUCUGAUGGGUUGCUGGUUGGCAAACCAAACAGACAUUCCUUUGGGCACUCAGAAGGCAAAGGGACGUUGUCUGCUGCAGGGGAGGGACAGGUAGUGAUGGACAACAGAGGACUAUAUAAAGUAGAGACUGGUACUGUAGGUCCAAAGCUGAAUGAGCCGUUUUCCAUCAAUCAGUCCACAGUAACACAGAAACUCCUAGCUGUGAAAGAAACCAAAGCGUCCAGUUUGCAAGAAAAUACCAAAUCUCCAGUAGAACUCAAUAAAUCUUACGAUGUAGAAAGCCCAUCCCCGCUACUAAUGCAGAGCAAGAGUGUGCGCCAGCAGAUGGACACUCCAAGUGUUCCCCCAGCAAAUGAACAGUUUCUAGAAAACAGUUAUGAAAAGGUAAAACGUAGACUUGAUUUGGACACUGACAACUGCCAGAAAGAUAACAACCCCUGUGCUGUAACAGUUGGGAUGGAGGAAGAAGAGAAACAAUGGUUGCAAGAGCAGAAAUAUCCUGUGACAUCGGUUUACGUUGCCAAGAAUGCAGCCCCUGAUUCAAGUAUGGCAAAAGAAGAGAUUUUAAAGACUAAAAUGCUGGCCUUUGAAGAAAUGAGGAAGAGACUCGAAGAACAGCAUGCACAACAACUGUCAAUUCUGAUAGCAGAACAAGAGCGAGAGCAGGAGAAAUUGCAGAAGGAACUGGAGGAACAGGAGAGAAAAGGAAAGAAAAUCGCUACAACAGAAAUAGAAAUUUCCAAAGUGAAUAUUAACAGUAGGAUGGAGUUGGAGUGGAGAAAAAGUGAAAGUGGCUUAGUGGAAAGUGUGCAGUCUCAGCUGGAGACGAUCCAUAACGCAAACUCUACAAGCAUUGGUUUUGCUCAUGCUUCAUCACCUAACACCUUUACUUCAACAAGUGAAACUUCGUUCUUUCUCUGGGGACCAUCAGGCAGUGGAGUUAUAAAAACCUCAGUAUCUAGGCCAAGUAACAGGAUCAAAACCAGGUGGGCCCAGAUUUUCACUCCAGAGAUACAAAUGAAGUUUGAUAAGAUAACUGCUGUGGCAAAGGGGUUUCUUACACGUCGGCUCCUACAGACAGAGAAACUGAAACAUCUCAAGCAGACUGUAAAAGAUACUAUGGAGUUCAUAAGAAAUUUUCAAUCUGAAGCCCCAUUAAAAAGAGGAAGUGUUUCAGCACAAGAUGCAUCCCUUCAUGAAAGAGUAAUGGCUCAGCUUCGAGCUGCUCUGUAUGAUAUCCAUGACAUAUUUUUCACAAUGGAGGCAUCAGAAAGAAUGAACAUUCUGCGUCACGAUCGUGAAGUUCGUAAAGAGAAGAUGCUCAGGCAAAUGGAUAAAGUGAAGAGUCCAAGAGAGAGAGCAACACUUUCAACAGCUACGCAGAAAUCUCUGGAUAGGAAAAAGUACAUGAAGGCUUCAGAAAUGGGAAUGCCAAGUAAGAAAAUAGUCAUAAAACAAAGAAGUCCUGAGAGCCGAGUACUUCAACCAAACCAAGGACAGAAUGCCCCGGUUCAUAGAUUACUUUGCAGACAAGGAACCCCUAAGACCUCAAUGAAGGGGGUUGAGCAAAAUAGAAAGAAGGCCUCAGAGAGCAGAGUGUCUAACAAGGCGGUUUCAGGACAAAGCAGCUCUGUCAGUAGCCUGUAAGUCGUGCUAAGCAGGGCAUUUAAAGAUGAUUGAGAUCAGCCUGCUGCUGCCACUGUGCUUCCCCACCUCGUUUGUUUCUGCCCAGUCUGAGAGCAUAUGCAGGAAGAACCCAAAGAAAGAAGCCAAAUGUUGUGACAAUUUAAGACGACAGCACUCACUAGGAUGAACAGGCUGCCCUUUAACGAUGGUAUUCUCAGCACUCAUCCAUGUAUUUCAUCUCUUAAAUGCGUAGUUAUAUUUUGAAAUGAUAAGCCUACUUUGUCUUUUCCAGAUGAUGACAUUUUAAUGCAAUCAUAUUGAAGUAAUAAAGAGCUGUUAAGCUCUAAUCCAGUGUAAAAAUUGCAUGUUAAAAGUUGUGUAUGCAGUAGUGUGCAUAUAUAAGAUUCAUAAUGUUAUUCAAAUAAGACCACAGAGCAUCAUUAAGUUAAUUUGGGACAUCAUAUGCUCUAACUUUGUAUCUUCAACAUGGUUUUUGUAUUAUUUAAGUUGGCAAUUUCUCUGUAUGGUUUUCCACCAUAAGUCAUGCACGUAUAGUUUUAGUUUCUCACCAUUAUACUUAAAGCAGUUACAUAAGAAAAAAAAUCCCUUAAAACUGAACUCUUCAGUCUGAAUUUGUCAGCAGCUGUUCUGAAUGUAUUUGUGUGAAUGCUGUUACAUCACUUCACAUAUUUAUGGCCUAAAUUGGUUGCAAUUGUGCUGAGUUGGACAGACAAGGAUCCAGACAGGUGUACUUCCAUUCUCUAUAGAAACUGCACAUUUAUACACGUGAUAGAUCAAACAACUGUGCUGGAUGUCCUAGGAUUUUUUUUUUCCUUGUUAUCUGUGGAACACUGAAGGAUGAUGCACAUAUUUUGCCUUGAUCAUCAUAGUGAUGGGUGUUAUGCUUCAGCCUGAGCAGAGCAUAAGUCUGGAAGUUUAUUUAUGUCUCUAAGGAUACAACUUUCAGACAGGAUAGGUUGUUAACAUUAGAAGUAAAUAGAGAGAAGCUUGGCUAUUGCAGUCUGUGCAGUACUGUUUUUUUGUUUUCUGUUAGAGUAGUACUAGAAAACUGAUCACCUGAAAGUGAAGUUAUUGUUUUCUUCCCAGUGUCAAUACAGUGCAACACAGUGGGGCCUGUGUAACAUUUUCUCACUGGUAUGAGGGGGAAAAAGUGAUCAAUAACUUAAUUUGCAACCGCUAUAAAAAAAGAACAUUAACAGUAGGAUGAAGAGAAUAUCUUUAGGGACAGUGGUGAAUUAGCUGGCUUGUGGCAGUAGUUGUGACUUGCAUCAGUAAGUCUGUCUUCCACAGCUGGUGACGGUGUUAAAUGCUUCCUAACAGGUGAUACUAAAUUGUGUAGUUAGAAAUCUGAGGCAAAAGGCUGCUGAAAGGCUUUGGAGGUAGAUGCUGCUUAGGCUCUGCUGUGGCUCUAAGGUGCAUUCCCUGCUGGUAUAAAUGCAAAAGCUUACACCAGUAAAAUACCUGCUGCCCUCAUAUCAAUUCAGUGAUUUUUUUAUUUUAAGAAAAAAAUUGCAAUCCAAAAAAUGCCUGAUGUGUUUCCUGCUUAUUCAGCAGUCAUCCAAUGUCUGCUUUGGCUCCCGCUUUCCUGUGUUUGGAUAAUCCCAGGAUGGGAGUGGAAAACAUCUGAGGGAAAAGAAUGGAGUGUGACCUGUGUCAAGGGUGGCACAAAAGCCUGCUGUGGCUGUGUCAGUGCUAAGGGUUGGUGUAUUUUAAGGGUGUUUUAUAUACUGUAUGUAUUAUUAGAGUAGGCAGCGUGUUGAUAUAAAAGUAGUGUUAGUAAAUGUGAGUGCUUACCUCCAGGUUUCACAUCUGAACCUCUUUUACUUCCAGCAUGUUUCUGGUCUGUGUAACAAGGUGUUGUACUGCAAGUUGUUUGUUUGAACUUUCAUGAGGCCUUUCUCUUGACAAGUGCCAGAAUUUGGUUUUGUACUUAGUAUGUUAAUUUAUACAUAUUUAAUUUUAUCUGACUUUAUUUUGUGUGUGGUUGUAAUAUCAUCAUAAAAGCGUAUUUAUUUUUGUACUUUCCGUUUUCACCAGGCUUGCUUUUUACUACAUACUACACAAUAAACUUGCAAUCUUUAAAAAGA